ACUCAAAUGAAUAGACGGGGGCUCACACAAGCGGUGGAGCAUGUGGCUUAAUUCGAAGCAACGCGAAGAACCUUAUCCUGGGCUUGACAUGCACGGAUUAACUCCCUGAAAGGGGAGCCACACCUUCGGGUGGAACGUGCACAGGUGCUGCAUGGCUGUCGUCAGCUCGUGCUGUGAAGUGUUGGGUUAAGUCCCUUAACGAGCGAAACCCCUAUCGUCAGUUGCCAACAGGUUAUGCUGGGGACUCUGGCGAGACUGCCGGCGUCAAGUCGGAGGAAGGUGGGGAUGACGUCAAGUCCGCAUGGCCUUUAUGCCCAGGGCUGCACACGUGCUACAAUGGCGCGCACAGAACGAUGCAAGACCGCAAGGUGGAGCAAAUCGCCUAAAUCGCGCCCCAGUUCGGAUUGGAGGCUGCAACCCGCCUCCAUGAAGUCGGAAUCGCUAGUAAUCGCGGAUCAGCUACGCCGCGGUGAAUACGUUCCUGAGCCUUGUACACACCGCCCGU
rnacentral:rRNA from 1 species